GACAGAGGGUGCAAACGUUGUUCGGAAUUACUGGGCAUAAAGCGCACGUAGGUGGUUCGCUAAGUCGCGUGUGAAAUCCCUCGGCUCAACCGAGGAAUUGCGGGCGAUACUGGCGAGCUAGAGAUCGGGAGGGGUGAGUGGAACUCCAGGUGGAGCGGUGAAAUGCGUAGAUAUCUGGAGGAACACCGGUGGCGAAAGCGACUCACUGGCCCGACACUGACACUGAGGUGCGAAAGCUAGGGUAGCAAACGGG
rnacentral:rRNA from 1 species